UGUGGCAGACGGGUGAGUAACGCGUGGGAACCUGCCCUGUGGUAGGGAAUAACCGCGGGAAACUGCGGCUAAUACCCUAUGUGCUGAGGCAAAGAUUCGCCAUAGGAGGGGCCCGCGUCGGAUUAGGUAGUUGGUGGGGUAACGGCCUACCAAGCCAUCGAUCCGUAGCUGGUCUGAGAGGAUGAUCAGCCACACUGGGACUGAGAGGGGGCCCAGACUCCUACGGGAGGCAGCAGUGGGGAAUAUUGGACAAUGGGGGCAACCCUGAUCCAGCAAUGCCGCGUGGGUGAUGAAGGCCUUCGGGUUGUAAAGCCCUUUCGGCGGGGAAGAUUGACGGUACCCGCAGAAGAAGCCCCGGCUAACUUCGUGCCAGCAGCCGCGGUAAUACGAAGGGGGCUAGCGUUGUUCGGAAUUACUGGGCGUAAAGGGCGCGUAGGCUGUGCUGUAAGUCAGGCGUGAAAGGCCCGGGCUCAACCUGGGAACUGCGCAUGAUAC
rnacentral:rRNA from 1 species